CCCAAUGUUAUGGUUUAAAAUCAUUGGAUUUUAAACCAUAACAUUCGUUGUGAUGCAUGUAAUAAACUGCCGCACUCACAUCUCGGGCCUGUUUGUCGCACGUCUCACUGUUACUGUGACCGGCUCAGGUCUUCUCUCUCUCUCUCUCUCUCUUUCCGUUUGCUCUGGACAUAUGGUCCUCCAUAUUUAAAAUGCGGGGGACCGGAGGACUUUUGGGGCGUGACUUUCACGGCAAACAGCCAGCUGCAACGGCCUACAUCCAUCCGGCGUGUGCGUCUCCUCAAUUUGCACAACCUUGGGAGGGAUUUCUGUCUCCCCGGAGCAACGAUCACAACUCCAGAUUCCACAUAAAGUUAUAUUUCAUGCUAAUGAAUUAAUGUACCCGUUUCCAUUUUCAGCCUGAAAUAUACGCUCCCCUCCCAUGCCCAAAUGAAAAAUGAAAUUAGUCUUGUCAUUUGCAGCCGAUUUGUUUCGGGUCCCAGCUCGCUCUCCUUUUUCCCCUCGGCGUGGUUGUUGCCGACAGCACAGCUGUGUUCCUUUUCCCUGAUGACUGAUGGAACUGCUGUUGGGUGGAAUCCGGUUGAAAAAACCUUCCGGCGGGAUGCGUCAAUCUCUUUCAAGUGUGGAAGAUGCACAUAUUCUCAGAACUUACAGGGGUCCAAAGGGCUGCUGGCGCGCCGUGUGACAGUAUAACAUCCUGAGACCCGGUGUCAAAACUUGGCUGAAGGUUUUUUGUUGUUUUCUCUUCCCUCUACUUCACGUGUCACCAGAGCUGCCCCCAAAAAGACGAGCUGAAUCUCGUGUUGACGGCAUCAAGGGGCAGAGAGGGCGAGGAGAUGGGUGGUAAAUACCCUGUUGUAUGCAGACUUGCAAAAGACAACAGGAUGAGUAAUGGGGGACACAGUGAAAAAUAAAACGCUAUGGCCGCUCAUCCUUCUGCAGUAAAAGAGGAAGUUGGAACGGAGGCAGAGGGUCAGCGAACACAUGUGAAACCUCUUUAAACUUCCGUCAGUUAUCUGCUCAAGCGGCCUGAGCUCCAAAGAUCAGAGGGGCCAUUUUGGCACCAAAAAAAGCAAAAACAUCCAUCCUUUCAAGUGUGUCAGGAUUUCAGACGGUGGAUGCCAUAAGAAAAGGCCUGUUUUCCUGUGUGUGUGUGUGUGUGUGUGUGUGUUUGUGCAUGGUGAAUCCGUCAGCAUGAGCUUUUUUUUUCUCCCCAGCCAGAACCAACCGAUUCUCCACAGGCUGACGGGCCGCUUCCUAUGAGAGCUGAUGGAUUAUCGCAUCCAUUGUACCGCAAAUUCAUUUCAUUAUAAUACAUUAAACUCUGUAAAAUAUUCGUUUUUCCAUCUAAAACAAGUACAUAUUACGUCACCCGCCCCCCAGUUUGGGAAACCACUGCUGUAAUCCAUGCAUAUCUCGGAAUACAGAGUGAAGGUCGUACACUGCUGCUAAGGUCAAAGACAACCAUGCGUACACGUUCACACACACACACACACAAUGAAUCUUAUUUACACACUUCAGAUAACAUCCUCUGAUCUGAACCGACGGCUAAAAUUGGAAGCUUCACUCAAGCAAGGAGCAAUAUGUAUUUAAAAAACGCGAACGUUCCGAUCAGCAAUCUGCCGCACGCUUCCUUCUGCCGCUCCAAAGAUCCACCUCCAUCUUUUCUGCCAUUUAGUGCCGGCGCACUUCCACGUGUUCACUUCUCCCUCCCGGGAACUCCGGGGGGAAGGGAAGUACAAUUCUCACAGUCAAUAAGAAGAAUGCCCGCCGCAGUCAGAUAAAAUGCAAGGAUCUCCAGGCCGGCUUUUUGGUGGCGUCAGGGGGGUUUGAACCUGUGCGGUUGGUAAAAAAAAAAGAAUCCUUUUGUGGAGACAAACGCAUAAUCCCGAACUACUCUAUGAAAAAAGUAUGUUUCAUCCAGCUCAUUAAAUAUGAAAGUAAAGUAAAUAGAAAAAUGUGAUGCAGUUAUAUUUGAAAAGAAAUAAAUAACCGCUCAACAGUUUCUGUUUUCUCUGAUUGUGUGAAAGUGUCAUUUGUGAAUGCGUUUUACUGCCCCACAAUUUAUCAAGCAAUGCAACUUCAUGUCCUCUUUGUCUGCAGUUGCGUUUGCAGAGACGAAAAAUAAAUGAUUCUUUAAACCGGU
ensembl:lncRNA